ACCGACUCCCCAGCUGCAGAGCCUGGGAGUGAAUCAGCACUUCCUUAACUAGCACUUCGGCCGCAGUGCAUCACGCAGGUAAAUGAUUACGCAGGUGUCGCACUGUCACGCUUAAAGAUACCCUGCGAGCGCAGGAUUUUUUCACAGAAGAUACGCAUGGCGAUGCGGAACUUCCCAGAACUUGUGCAGCGUGAAGACAUGGUGGCCCAGACAGGCGGCUUGGGAUCUCCGCGCUUUUCGGACUAACCCCUGCCGAUUUAAUCGCUUGUCGCCAAGGCAGCAGGGAGUGUCACUGAUAAUAAUCACAAGAAAAACACAACGGCUUCACUGCAAAUAUAACUUCCAACAACGCUGCCUGCCCAGAGUGUCGACUGGGCCCUGCGUGUCUCCUCUGAAGCACACAGACAGGCGUGAUGGUGAGGAUUCAGGGAUCCUUUGGGAGAAAUGAAGACCCCGCUUUUUUUAGCCUCAGACCUUCAGAAAAACAGUCCUGGGAGAAGCGUGUUAACGGAGCUAUCUGCAAAAGCAAGCUAACAUACCAGUUAGCCAGAUGCCGGACAGACACGGAGGGGUCCUCUCUUCGGCGGACGGCGCGGGCAUUACGAGGCGGGAUGUGAAGAUGAAACCUCAGCCCGAAAGGGCAGCUGGGAAAGGCGUCUUGCUACUGAUACGGUAAACGGCGUCACCAACACCACGGACAACAUGAAACCCAAGGGCAAGCGGGCGCCGUCACCCGACUCCUGGGUAACACGCAUCAGUUAGCGUUACUGGCAACUGUCCUCCACUCGACACAAGCCACCUGUAGCAACCCUUUGACCAAUAAUGGUGCUCACUGUACCUGCUCCUUCAGCAGACUGGGCGGUGCCUGGAACCCGGUUAGAGAGGUGGGGUGGUGGUGCUGCUGGAUGGCUGAACCUCGUCCCCCAAGUCCUUUUGGGUUUCUAAGGCGCUGGAAGACCGGGCGAAGUCACCCGGCGUCGUCGAGCCACAUGUGGUCCAGACUGAGGGAAACAGAAACUGCUAGAAAAGGGUUACAGUAAAGAAUGCCUGACCCAUUUUUUACAUUCUUCAACCUGCUACCCCACACCAGGAAGUAAGUUACUCCGACUUAAAUAAAUAAUAUUUACUUAAAGAAAAACAACUCGUUUGUUUACAGUACUUUUCAGAGUAAUGAAUAAUUCCAGUUAUAAACACACCACAUUCAUGGGGUCUGCAGUGAUUCAUUUGUAUCUUGCAUAUCAGCUAUAACUGCAGGGCCUGCAUGGCAUUUAUCUGACCCUAAGCCUCCUGCCUGCCUGAACAAACCCUCCCCCUACUUUGAGAUCUUCUGAGGUUCGCGGCUCGAAGUUCAAAAGGUGGCUGGGGGCAUCGGCCAGCGUCUCCCCCUCACAUGAACGCAAACGGGUCCCUACCUGCCACACAGGCCCUGAAAUCCUGUCCAGCCACCAACAAGAAGCCCAUUGUGCGCAGGUAUGCAGUGGAACAUGGCUGUGUCCCUGGUGGUGGGGGGGGGGGGGGCUCUCCUGGUCACAACACCGAAACUCUCCGAUGGCCUCAUCCGCCACCCCGCCUUGCCUCCCCCUCCCUGCUCCCGUCCCCUCUCUCACACCAUAUCACCUGCCAGCCCCACCACUGCUCCCCCCAGUCCAGCUCCCAGAGCUCUCCUCCGCUACCGUCUCCUGCUGAACAACACCAAUUAGAAACAUUCCAGGAUCAAAAAAAAAAAAAACAUAGAACAGAAAGGAGAAAGACGAAAAAAACAGAAUUAGGAGGAGGAGACGAAAUGCGAUGAAGCAUAAUGACAGAGCCAGAUAGUCAGGGAACAAAGCAGGAACAGAGGGGCAGGGGACAGGAGUGGGGUGGAG